rnacentral:rRNA from 1 species
GACGAACGCUGGCGGCGUGCUUAACACAUGCAAGUCGAACGGAAAGGCCCUGCUUUUGUGUGGUGCUCGAGUGGCGAACGGGUGAGUAACACGUGAGUAACCUUCCCUUGACUUUGGGAUAACUUCAGGAAACUGGGGCUAAUACCUGAUAGGAGCUCCUGCUGCAUGGUGGGGGUUGGAACGUUUCGGCGGUUGGGGAUGGACUCGCGGCUUAUCAGCUUGUUGGUGGGGUAGUGGCUUACCAAGGCUUUGACGGGUAGCCGGCCUGAGAGGGUGACCGGCCACAUUGGGACUGAGAUACGGCCCAGACUCCUACGGGAGGCAGCAGUGGGGAAUAUUGCACAAUGGGCGGAAGCCUGAUGCAGCAACGCCGCGUGCGGGAUGAAGGCCUUCGGGUUGUAAACCGCUUUCGCCUGUGACGAAGCGUGAGUGACGGUAAUGGGUAAAGAAGCACCGGCUAACUACGUG